UACGGAGGGGGGCUAGCGUUGUUCGGAAUUACUGGGCGUAAAGCGCACGUAGGCGGCUUUGUAAGUUAGAGGUGAAAGCCCAGGGCUUAACCCUGGAAUUGCCUUUAAGACUGCAUCGCUAGAAUCGUGGAGAGGUGAGUGGAAUUCCGAGUGUAGAGGUGAAAUUCGUAGAUAUUCGGAAGAACACCAGUGGCGAAGGCGACUCACUGGACACGGUAUUGACGC
rnacentral:rRNA from 1 species